rnacentral:rRNA from 1 species
UACAGAGGUCUCAAGCGUUGUUCGGAUUCAUUGGGCGUAAAGAGCGUGUAGGCGGCCACUUAAGUCCUGCGUGAAAUCUUGCGGCUCAACCGCAAGCGGUCGUGGGAAACUGGGUGGCUAGAGUGCGGGAGAGGAGAGUGGAAUUCCUGGUGUAGCGGUGGAAUGCGCAGAUAUCAGGAAGAACACCCGUGGCGAAGGCGGCUCUCUGGACCAUAACUGACGCUGAUGCACGAAAGCUAGGGGGAGCAAACAGG